rnacentral:lncRNA from 1 species
CGUCCCCAUAUAGGGAUUUCAACGAAUCGAAAUUGAUGAUUUUUUUAACUAACCCAAGUUGAGAGAAAUUGAUUAAUUUUAUAGAGUUUAUUAAUUUACUAAAGAUUGUUUAAAGUUGUUUAGUUGUGUAAUCAAAUAGAUCAUUUUUCCAAGUAAAAAAAUAAUACUAACAUUAAAUCAAUAUUUGAUUAAAUAAUCUUUGCUAUUAUAAAAAUGUUUAAAACCAAAAUUGAGUCAAUUAAUCAAGUGAGAAAGUCGAUGUAGACAACUUACUAACCUCGACUUGUUUGUACCUAACAGCCAAAUGCAAAACUGUUUCUCCAUAAUCAUCCUGCAAAUGGACAAGCUCACGAAAAUGGUUCUUAUAACAUCAACUCUGAUGGAUACCUUAGGACUUGCUUCCUCAUAUUUGUUAAGAGGUAUCCGUUCUUCGGGUACGGGAGGUCAGGAAUCCCGGAUGCCAUCCUCAUCAUAAUCCUAGUUCAUAACUAGUUAGCUCAAACCGCUAGUGAUUUAGUUGUUUUUUUUUUUUUUUUUUUUUGUAUAUAUGUUAUUUGUAUUUAAAUUAUUAACGAGCAUUUAGUAUUUUUUUUUUGUUAUGUGAAGAAUAUUAGUGCGUCAAGUAUUACGCUUAUUUUGAGAUAUCAAGUUAUUAUUAUCAAUCCUAAUUUUUAUUAUGUAAGUUGUUAAGACAUGUUUUGAUUAAUCUUAGUACCUCACAUCGAAAGAGAUUUUUUUAAUUUCAUGUUUAUAGUCAUGGCCAGCUAUUAUUUGUGAGGUUGGCCCAUUUCUCAUUCCUUCUUCCUUUCCUUUUUGGGUCUAGGCCAACUUCAGGGCCCAGAACCGAGCCCACCCACUUAUCCCAGCCCAUUCCCAAACCCUAGCCCACUCCCCUUUUCGGAUAAACCCCUCCCGCCUAUCUCCUCUCUCUCAGACUCCUCGAAUUCUCCAUCUUCCACCGCCCUUUUACCUUGGUUACUCCACCGCCUUCAAUGGCGCCCCCCUUUUACCGUUGCUGUUACUUCCCUUAUAUCCCAGAUGCU